GAUGAACGCUGGCGGCGUGCCUAAUACAUGCAAGUCGAGCGAACAGACGAGGAGCUUGCUCCUCUGACGUUAGCGGCGGACGGGUGAGUAACACGUGGAUAACCUACCUAUAAGACUGGGAUAACUUCGGGAAACCGGAGCUAAUACCGGAUAAUUUAUUGAACCGCAUGGUUCAAUAGUGAAAGACGGUUUUGCUGUCACUUAUAGAUGGAUCCGCGCCGCAUUUGCUAGUUGGUAAGGUAACGGCUUACCAAGGCAACGAUGCGUAGCCGACCUGAGAGGGUGAUCGGCCACACUGGAACUGAGACACGGUCCAGACUCCUACGGGAGGCAGCAGUAGGGAAUCUUCCGCAAUGGGCGAAAGCCUGACGGAGCAACGCCGCGUGAGUGAUGAAGGUCUUCGGAUCGUAAAACUCUGUUAUUAGGGAAGAACAAAUGUGUAAGUAACUAUGCACGUCUUGACGGUACCUAAUCAGAAAGCCACGGCUAACUACGUG
rnacentral:rRNA from 1 species